UUGACCAUACAUGGUUUUAAAUAAGAAGUACACAGUUCAACUUCCAUGUUUUUUAUAAAACAAAUCUAAUUUACAUUUACCUUGAACCCUGUAUGAAUUUACUACAACACUGAAACGGUAAAAAUACACUAUUACUAUGAAUAAUAUCAAAUAAAUAUUUGUCCCCCAAAGCACUUUAAUUUUGAAACAAUGCAUCAGCUCUUUGAAGUUUUUCAUGGGUCAAGAGGUCAGUGGAAGAAGUGCAGUGGAGGAAGGCAAAAGGCAGAUAUGUCUAGGAACUAUUCUCUCAUUUUGGCGUAAUAAUCAAAGACUUUGCUGCCGUAACAUGGCUGCAGCAGGCGCAAUGAUAUUGCACAAACCCCCGAAAAUCCCCAUGGUAACUUUCAAUAGCAGGAAAGUCUACCGGAAGUUGGGUAGCUGUUCUGCAUAUUUUAUCUGGCAGAGGUCUAAAUAUGUUCGGCUAAAGAGAGAAAGUCACGUACACCUAGGAUGGCAUUAGCAAGUAGACAGACAAGCAGACGGAGAGACAGAUCGAGCAGCUGAAGGUUUCUGGAUUGUGCCCCUAAGAGUGUGCUGAUUGAAAGAUGGGACAAAUCCAACAAAGAGAAGUAUUCACGGGGAGAGAAAGCUGUCGAGCAGGCAGCAGUCCAGGCUGACGUACUGGAGCACUCGAGUUUCACCAGCGCUGCUUUGUUCGCUGGCACUCAUCUUGAGUCCCUGCCAACUGAAAGGAAACAGUGCUGUUUGUGUGACACUGUAACAAAUGAUAAUCCACAUGUACAUUGUCUACUAUUACUAAAGACAGUUUUUGGCUUUACAUAAAACAGCUGUACUGCAUUGCAGUAGCUGUGACUGAAGUGUACAUCAUCCAAACCUACUACUACAUUUGUCCUUGUUGUUACUGUAUAUUUGACAGAUUGUUGUAGAUUAUGCAAUAACCCGUUUAGUAAACACUUACACACCCUCAGAUACAUUAGUGAGUAAUUAUGGGAGAAAAUUCUGAUGUUGUUUUAAUUCACUUACUGACAAUAUUAACAGUGUAAGAUGCACUUUGCAGGCUCUUAACAGAGUGGACUGCAGUUAUAUAUAGAGCUGUGAGAGUGUCCAGAAAUCUUAAAAAAUAUCCUUGCCCCUGCGUGAUUGGAGGGUGUUACUGUGAUUGUUGACCUUGAGAG